rnacentral:misc_RNA from 2 species
CAGAGUUGCAAAACUCCCACAAACCAUCGCGAAUCUUACCCGUACGGUUGCCUCGGCGCUGGCGGUCCGGAAGGCCCUCGGGCCCCCCGGAUCCUCGGGUCUCCCGCUCGCGGGAGGCUGCCCGCCGGAGUGCCGAAACCAAACUCUUGAUAUUUUAUGUCUCUCUGAGUAAACUUUUAAAUAAGUCA